AUUGAACGCUGGCGGCAUGCCUUACACAUGCAAGUCGAACGGCAGCACGGGAGCAAUCCUGGUGGCGAGUGGCGAACGGGUGAGUAAUAUAUCGGAACGUGCCCGAUCGUGGGGGAUAACGGAGCGAAAGCUUUGCUAAUACCGCAUACGAUCUACGGAUGAAAGCAGGGGACCGCAAGGCCUUGCGCGGACGGAGCGGCCGAUGGCAGAUUAGGUAGUUGGUGGGAUAAAAGCUUACCAAGCCGACGAUCUGUAGCUGGUCUGAGAGGACGACCAGCCACACUGGGACUGAGACACGGCCCAGACUCCUACGGGAGGCAGCAGUGGGGAAUAUUGCACAAUGGGCGAAAGCCUGACCGAGCGACGCCGCGUGCAGGACGAAGGUCUUCGGAUUGUAAACUGCUUUCGACGGGGAUGAAAGGUAAGAGGGGCCAAUACCCCCCUUAUUUGACAGUACCCGGUGAAGAAGCCCUGGCUAACUCCGUGCCAGCAGCCG
rnacentral:rRNA from 1 species